rnacentral:rRNA from 1 species
GAAUGCUGACAUAAGUAACGAUAAAGCGGGUGAAAAGCCCGCUCGCCGGAAGACCAAGGGUUCCUGUCCAACGUUAAUCGGGGCAGGGUGAGUCGACCCCUAAGGCGAGGCCGAAAGGCGUAGUCGAUGGGAAACAGGUUAAUAUUCCUGUACUUGGUGUUACUGCGAAGGGGGGACGGAGAAGGCUAUGUUGGCCGGGCGACGGUUGUCC